AGAGUUUGAUCAUGGCUCAGAUUGAACGCUGGCGGUAUGCUUAACACAUGCAAGUCGAACGGAAACGAUGGAAGCUUGCUUCCAGGCGUCGAGUGGCGGACGGGUGAGUAACGCGUAGGAAUCUGCCUGAUAGUGGGGGAUAGCCCGGAGAAAUUCGGAUUAAUACCGCAUAAUCUCUACGGAGUAAAGGAGGCCUCUAUUUAUAUGCUUUCGCUAUCAGAUGAGCCUGCGUAAGAUUAGCUAGUUGGUGAGGUAAAGGCUCACCAAGGCGACGAUCUUUAGCUGGUCUGAGAGGAUGAUCAGCCACACUGGAACUGAGACACGGUCCAGACUCCUACGGGAGGCAGCAGUGGGGAAUANUGNGCAAUGGGCGAAAGCCUGACGCAGCAACGCCGCGUGAGGGAUGAAGGAUUUUGGUNAGUAAACCUCUGUCGAGUGGGAAGAA
rnacentral:rRNA from 1 species